rnacentral:rRNA from 1 species
UACGGAGGGUGCAAGCGUUAUCCGGAUUUAUUGGGUUUAAAGGGUGCGUAGGCGGGAAAAUAAGUCAGUGGUGAAAACCUGCAGCUUAACUGUAGACUUGCCAUUGAUACUGUUAUUCUUGAGUAUGGUCAAGGUAGGCGGAAUGUGUAAUGUAGCGGUGAAAUGCUUAGAUAUUACACAGAACACCGAUUGCGAAGGCAGCUUACUGGGCCAUUACUGACGCUGAUGCACGAAAGCGUGGGGAUCAAACAGG